rnacentral:rRNA from 1 species
UUCUUGGUCAUUUAGAGGAAGUAAAAGUCGUAACAAGGUUUCCGUAGGUGAACCUGCGGAAGGAUCAUUAUUAUAAUGCGUGGAAAAGCCCCCUUACAGGGGCUCUCUAGAAAACUCUAAACUUACUGUCUGAGAAGGCUACGUGCCAUAAUCUUUAAAUAUUUUAAAACCUUCAACAACGGAUCUCUUGGUUCUCGCAUCGAUGAAGAACGCAGCGAAAUGCGAUAAGUAAUGUGAAUUGCAGAAUUCAGUGAAUCAUCGAAUCUUUGAACGCACAUUGCGCCCUUUGGUAUUCCAUAGGGCAUGCCUGUUCGAGCGUCACUAACAACCCCAUCACAAAGAGUGUGGUAUUGGCAGAAGUGGGUAGGGCUGGCAUUGCUGGUCCCACUCUGCUGGAAUGAAUAGGCCGGAACUGUAGACCAUAGUAACAAACUUUCAGAGUAUUGUAAGAUGCUAAAUCAGUUUGUAUGCUGGUCAGAAUCCAUGCCAUUGGACCCCCAUACUGUGGAAAGCAGUAAUGUUGACCUCGGAUCAGGUAGGGAUACCCGCUGAACUUAAGCAUAUCAAUAA